rnacentral:rRNA from 1 species
UACGUAGGGUGCAAGCGUUGUCCGGAAUUAUUGGGCGUAAAGAGCUCGUAGGCGGUUUGUUGCGUCGGCUGUGAAAUCCCGAGGCUCAACCUCGGGUCUGCAGUCGAUACGAGCAAACUAGAGUGUUGCAGGGGAGACUGGAAUUCCUGGUGUAGCGGUGAAAUGCGCAGAUAUCAGGAGGAACACCGGUGGCGAAGGCGCUCAUCUGGCCCAAUACUGACGCUGAGGCGCGAAAGCUAGGGGAGCAAACGGG